GGACCCGUGGUGUAGCGGUUAACAUGCCUGCCUGUCACGCAGGGAGAUCGCCGGUUCGAUCCCGGUCGGGUCCGCCA
rnacentral:tRNA from 1 species